CCUGGUUGAUCCUGCCAGUAGUCAUAUGCUUGUCUUAAAGAUUAAGCCAUGCAUGUCUAAGUAUAAAUCAUAUACGGUGAAACUGCGAAUGGCUCAUUAAAACAGUUAUAGUUUAUUUGAUAAUGCUUUUACAUGGAUAACCGUAGAAAACUAGAGCUAAUACAUGCGCAAAGACUCUCCUCCGGAGGGUUGUAUUUAUUAGAUAUGAAACCAACUGCGUCAGCAUUGAGAUGAUUCAUAAUAACUGAUCGGAUCGCACCCAGUGCGAUGGAUCAUUCAAGUUUCUGCCCUAUCAGCUUUCGAUGGUAGUGUAUUGGACUACCAUGGCGAUCACGGGUAACGGGGAAUUAGGGUUCGGUUCCGGAGAGGGAGCCUGAGAAACGGCUACCACACCUAAGGAAGGCAGCAGGCGCGCAAAUUACCCAAUCCUGACUCAGGGAGGUAGUGACAAGAAAUAACAGACCGGGUCCCUCUGGGAUCACGGGAUUGUAAUGAGGACAAUGUAAACAACUUCACGAGAACCAAUUGGAGGGCAAGUCUGGUGCCAGCAGCCGCGGUAAUUCCAGCUCCAAUAGCGUAUAUUAAAGUUGUUGCAGUUAAAAAGCUCGUAGUUGAACUUCUGGCCAGAGGCCAAGGUCUCUUAGAGGCUUUGGUGUUCUAGGCCAUCCUCCCGGGAACCAUGGACUCACUUUAAUGGGAGCUAUGCGGAACGGGACUUUUACUUUGAAAAAAUUAGAGUGUUUCAGGCAGGCUUACGCCAGAAUAUUACAGCUGAGAAUAAUGGAAUAGGACUGAGUCCGUUUUGUU
rnacentral:rRNA from 1 species